ACGGAAGGAGCAGUGGGGAAUAUUGCACAAUGGGGGAAACCCUGAUGCAGCAACGCCGCGUGAAGGAAGACGGUUUUCGGAUUGUAAACUUCUGUUCUUAGUGAAGAAUAAUGACGGUAGCUAAGGAGCAAGCCACGGCUAACUACGUGCCAGCAGCCGCGGUAAUACGUAGGUGGCAAGCGUUGUCCGGAAUUACUGGGUGUAAAGGGGGCGCAGGCGGGAGAUCAAGUCAGCUGUGAAAUCCAUGGGCUCAACCCAUGAACUGCAGUUGAAACUGUUCUUCUUGAGUGAAGUAGAGGUUGGCGGAAUUCCGAGUGUAGCGGUGAAAUGCGUAGAUAUUCGGAGGAACACCGGUGGCGAAGGCGGCCAACUGGGCUUUUACUGACGCUGAGGCCCGAAAGUGUGGGGAGCAAACAGGAUUAGAUACCCUGGUA
rnacentral:rRNA from 1 species